rnacentral:rRNA from 1 species
UUUGCGUCGAAGGUAUACCGGUAAGGAGUGCUGGAGCGAAUAGAAGUGAGCAUGCAGGCAUGAGUAGCGAUAAUUAAUGUGAGAAUCAUUAACGCCGUAAACCCAAGGUUUCCUACGCGAUGCUCGUCAUCGUAGGGUUAGUCGGGUCCUAAGUCGAGUCCGAAAGGGGUAGACGAUGGCAAAUUGGUUAAUAUUCCAAUACCAACAUUAGUGUGCGAUGGAAGGACGCUUAGGGCUAAGGGGGCUAGCGGAUGGAAGUGCUAGUCUAAGGUCGUAGGAGGUUAUACAGGCAAAUCCGUAUAACAAUACUCCGAGAACUGAAAGGCUUUUUGAAGUCUUCGGAUGGAUAGAAGAACCCCUGAUGCCGUCGAGCCAAGAAAAGUUUCUAAGUUUAGCUAAUGUUGCCCGUACCGUAAACCGACACAGGUGGGU